AAAGGAUGGAGAGUUCUGGAUUGGUCUAUGGUAUGGAGGGACACAAGGGGAAUGGGAAUGGGUGGACGGAUCACCGCUGACAGAAACGUUCUGGGCAGCAGGACUGACUCACUAUGACGGUUACUGGUACGCUGCAACAUGCUGCGAUCAACAAGGAAAAUGGACACAAAGAUAUUAUUCUGAUAAUAAGAACUGGAUCUGUGAGAAAAAGAUGAUCUGAACUCUUUGAUGACAGAGAGGUGUGUAGUGUUGGGAUCAGCUUUGUUAAAUCAGACCAAUUCUUUAACAUUUGCUCAGCUGUUUAUUCUGUGUUGCUAAAUAACCUGAUUACAGAGAUAUUGUUCCUCUGCCCUUCAUAGAGCACAAUCUGGUUAGAAGUCAUGUGUACUUACUCUGUAGUCCUACAGGAUUAUUAUAAUAAAAGCUAAUAAAAACAUG